rnacentral:rRNA from 1 species
CCUACGGGGUGCAGCAGUGAGGAAUAUUGGUCAAUGGACGAGAGUCUGAACCAGCCAAGUAGCGUGAAGGAUGACUGCCCUAUGGGUUGUAAACUUCUUUUAUAUGGGAAUAAAAUGUUCCACGUGUGGGAUUUUGUAUGUACCAUAUGAAUAAGGAUCGGCUAACUCCGUGCCAGCAGCCGCGGUAAUACGGAGGAUCCGAGCGUUAUCCGGAUUUAUUGGGUUUAAAGGGAGCGUAGGUGGAUUGUUAAGUCAGUUGUGAAAGUUUGCGGCUCAACCAUAAAAUUGCAGUUGAAACUGGCAGUCUUGAGUACAGUAGAGGUGGGCGGAAUUCGUGGUGUAGCGGUGAAAUGCUUAGAUAUCACGAAGAACCCCGAUUGCGAAGGCAGCUUACUAAACUGUGACUGACAUUGAUGCUCGAAAGUGUGGGUAUCGAACAGGAUUAGAUACCCCGGUAGUC